GCUAUAGAAAAAAAUGGGUUGAGUGCUAGACCGGUCCGAGAACUGAUGCGAACUACCUAAUGGAUCGAACGUCGAACUCCGGGUGACUGGAUCGCCCCGGCGGGGCCGAGGACAGAGGGCCCUGAGAAGCGCAGCACUCCAAUAAUGGAUCCUUUUGUAGGCUCUGGCUUCAGCCAGCUCACUUUCUCCCUCACUUACCUCCAGAGGCUCAGACGCUUCGUCAGUGGGUUUGCCUUCGUCUUUCCUUUUUUUUAUUCUUAAUCAAAGCAGAGGCAGUUUCUGCAGCUGUGCGCUUCGAGGUAGCUCGGGUUCUCCUAACUGAAGACAUUGCGGACUUAGGGGUAGGGGGUUUAGCACUUUUGUCUACAAAAUAGAAAAACAACUCAUUUUUUGACCGCGGGAGUUAAACAACGAAAGACCGAAAAGGAGAUACCUUUCUUGGGUUUCUUUUCUUGGGAGGAUAAAGUUGACUCGACGAGGGCUCUGGGACGGAUUCCUUGGUCUUGCUCUUUCCUUUCUGGGAUUUUUCGGUCGGGAUUCUCCUUUUUACAUCUCCAGGUGAGAUGGCUUCGAUUGGCUUGAAAGCAAGGUUUUUAUUCCUCCGACCACCAUGUUCUAAAUUCCGUGGUCAUUCCUGGCGUAUUGGACAGGUUGUUUAAGUCGAAGCCGCUUUUUAGAAGUAAGAGUUUCCGUUGAAGAAAGAAGGGGGAAGGAUGAAAAUCCAACGCUUAGCCAACCAUCUAUCUUAAAUAGUCUAGAAUCAAUCUAUUUAUGUCUAAUCUUGCUUUCUAUCUAACUGGAUAGAUCUUCUUCCUAUUUCUAGGAGCUUCUAGGUCAGGGAAAAAUGACAAGUUUCGUAUGAAAGGGAGAGGUGCUGCUGCUUACGUCCUUUCCCCGGAGCAGCAACUGAAAGAGAAAAGACCGGGUAUGCCUGAAAACCUGAAACGGAUUCGUGAACAACAGAUAACAGAUAUACCCCGGAUACCAUUUGAACCAGAGCUGAACCAUUGAAAUUACCCGAGAGUCACUCCAGAAGACCUCGAGUCACUGGCUGCCUUUAGAGCAGACUAAGAAUCAGGUACGGAAGGAAGUGAAGGUGAAGCAGGCUUGCGGGCUAGGCUUUCUCAGGCUUGACAAUAUGACAGGGCCUUUGAGCCUGGGCUUUCUUCUUUAAAGCCUCACGCCGGGUAUGAACUCGAUUGUUGGUCGGAUCUUGCUGGGUAUUCCCACUUUGCUUGGAUGGCGCCUUUCGCCUUUGAUUAGGACUUUUCCGCAUUUCAUCUCAAAGAGGAUCUAAGCUAACUAAGCUAAACAGUGCUUUUCUCUUUAAGAGCUGGUGCAAGAAGGCCUCCGGACAAAGGCAUGAAUACUAAGAGAGGAAGAAAAGAAACCUCCCAAAAUUCGUGUUGUACUGUAUUAGUGGAGGCGGUAGAAGCCUUAAUAUAACGCGAUAUAAAGAGAAAAAGAUGGUUUAAACUAUAUUGUCCCAGUUGGAGUUCUGACUAUAGCUGCAACCUAUCUCAUAUUGGGGAGAAGUGUACCCUACUGUAUCGAAAAGAAUGCAUUGGAUUCAUUCUAUUCUCCCAUGUCUUUCUUGGUUGGAAAAAACCAACCGGCGAUUUCCGACAAGUCUCUCUUCAGUUUGAGAGGGGAGCAGUCAAAAAUGAACUAUAUGGACAGACGUGAGAAUCAAAUUGCACUCUUCAAUUCUCUAUCGGCAUUAGCCAAUUCCGUAUGGAGGGGCAAAACCCCGAAGAUCCUAUGUCAGAAUGCUUUGAGUUCCGCUCAAAGCUGCCUCUAUGCGCGUAUGUCGGAACUUCUUCCAUUUAGACAAAAUCCACUUCCAAAUGAUUGGACGCUACCGGCCUUUUGCCGGGAAGUGAUUGGAGAUACCGACAACUUACCUAUUGUUUUAGAUGCCCUAAGGUAAGGGAUCUUUAUUUCCAUGGGCCAACGGGUGAAUGCUACAUACAGGCCAUGGCUGUCUACGUCAAUCUUUUGGGAGGGAUGUAGUAAGUUGUAGGACUUUCAUUUCUUCUUUUGUUUGUGCAUCUUUCCCAUGCUUUGGUAAUAGUUCUCUAUAGAGAACUAUAGUUGUUCACUCCUCGUACAGGAAGGAGUCUCUUUCUGGAAUAAUUUCUUUUUUCUCAAAUGCCUCAACUGGAGAAGAAGUCGUUUAUGAUUGAAUCUCAGAGGCAUUCUUAUCAUUUGGUAGAUCCAAGUCCACAGACUCUCCUUUUCUUUAAGCAAUGUGGCGACUCUGGUGAUUUGUAGAGAAUCACCAGAAGCAGUCAUGUUGUCUUUAUUAAUCCUAGGUCUUGCAUUUCUCCCUUUUCUUCCUUAUGAUAUCGCUUUUCUAGCCCUGCUAGUCGGGCGAUACUUUUUUCAUCCAAAAAUGCAAGACUUGGCACUUUCCCUUCUAAUUCAGAUAAUCUUACUCGAUAUCUUCUUCUUUUUAUCAAAAAAGAAAAGCAUCUUCUUUUUAUUGCUUUUCAGUCUCCUUCUUUUAUUACUCCAUGGGUCUUAUGAUCCGAUGGAUACUGGUGUUACAUUAAAACGACUACUGCCCAUGGCAGGGGGAUGCGCCGCGCCUUCUAUUUUUGGUUUUGCGCCACCACGCCGAAGGCGCAAAUCCUCUCCUAUUUCAGAUUUUUAUGAACGUUCUUCUUAUCCUUUGUAUUCUGAAGGACGUUCAGAACACUUUCUGUUUCUGUGUGUUUCAUUUUAGCACACUAGUCUUCUUAUUAUUACUCAGUAAAAUCCGGGGGCAACCCCUAUCGCAAGUCCUUAAUGAAACAAAGGAACAAAUGUUGGCGCUUUUCCUUUUAUUCUUGAGCCUUUCCCCGGUUGGUUAACCCAUUGGAUUUCUGGUAUGAUAUAUCAAUUCUCAUGGACUCCGCAUAAUUUUUCAAUUAAGAACCGAAUCGGCCUCGGAUUUCUUUAACUAUAAUCUAAAAAAGGAAAGGAUUGUUCUUUCAUUCCUUUUCCUCUCCCUUUUUCUUCUUUUUUCUAUUCAAAUAAAAAAGAAAAAAAGAAUCUCCAGGUAUCCCUAUAUCAAGUAGUACGAGAUCUUUGAUUUGCAACAUCAGUCUCUCUCCGGAGAGCCCUCUGCUGACCGAACCUACUGUUAUGAAGGCAAGCAACCACAAUGGAGUAGGGCUUCUAAGUGCGUAGUCUGUUUCCAAGCUCUGAUAAGCGAGUCAAGCUUUCUCAUCUCAGGAACAAGUCGACUAAGGCGAUGGGGCAUAUCCGAUCUUCCAAUCGUUGAUCUAGUUGAAAAUGAGCAAAUGAAAUUUCUCUAUAAAUAAGGAAAGAAAGGCUAGUCCUACUGACACUGAACCUGGCUGGCCCCCCCCUCCAAUCCCUCGGCUGAACCUUCUGAGGCCGUGACGACUUUCCGCGGGUCUCUCGUCGAAAUGAGAAGCUAGCGAAACAGCGGUUGGUGUGCAGUCAACUACGUCGAACCUCACUCUGUCCCCUUAAUUAGGAAUUAUAAAGAUUUCUCUUUGAUUUUUAUAGGUGAAUCAGGUUUUCUGUGUAAUCUGAGGAGAUUCGUUUCCCCUUUCUUAUAAUUACGUAUAAUAAUUAUAUAGGGAGGGAUCGAACUCGCUUUGCGCCACCCUAUCCCGGUGCCAAAAAGGAGUCCCUAGCAGUACCGACUGUUGUGUCUUCGGCAUCGAAAGCAGCAGCAGUCACCUCAAAUGGGUUGGGUUCGCUCGAAGUCGUCGCGAGCCCUACGUUUGAAGCUUCAACACAGUCACUCCUUAGUAUUAGUAGCUCGUUGCUACAACUUCUCUUUGGCUCGCCCCUAUCUCUUCUCUAAAGGGGCUUACUCACUUCACUCGCUCUUGUUCAGUAGCGGUUUAUUCAUUCUUUAGAUAGCAGCGCGAGAGCUCUGAACUUUCAUUCAGGUCUUUAGUUCCAGUCGAAUCGCGAGCAAAGCUCGACACUGCUAGCGAAGCUCUACGACAGAGCAUUUCCAUUAUUUCAAUUAUAGAACCAACUGCUCUCUCUUUCCGGCUUAGCCUACCUUAUCUUCUAUCCCCCUGGUGUACGAAAGCAGCGAAGGAAGAGGAGCACAACCGUCACUUGCGAAGCGAACAAAGAAAAAAAACGCUCAAACAAAGCAAAGGGGCGCUCGUACACUCUCCGUUCUGUGGUGCCCCUAGCGCAGCGCUCAAACAAGCCCUCUGAUCCUGAGGUGAGGGUGCGAUGCCUAUCGAAAUCACAAAAGGUGCAAAACCGGAUCCGCGUCAAAUGAAAAGUGUCUUGGCAUUGGCCGAUUCCGUUGCCGAAAACUGCUUGUUAUGACCCGGGGUCGGACGUUGUUUUUUAUGGGAAGACAUCGCGUUACUAGUCGAUUUAAGAUAACGAAAGGCUUUUCUUUUCCAGCUGCCAAUAGAAAUAGAAAUCGGAAUCAGAAUAGUAAAGCAAGCAAUAGGAACUGGUACAUAAGCACAAGCAAUCGGAUCUCCUCGGGUCAAGUCAGCACACCCGCUGUAAGUAAAGCCAUCUGGAAUAGGAAAGCAAGUAGGAAGAAUAUGAAUAGGAGUCAGUCUUGACUAAGCUCAUUCCGACUCUCACCCGUCUCCAAGAAUGCUACGACGCUAUGCAUCCGCGCACUGGAGUUUUCUACGAUGGAUUGAAUCCUUCCUUCCAAUUCGAAUUGUUUUUCUACUCGUUCCUUGUCCCUUUUUUACUUUUAGGCACCAUUCAGUAUUUCAGUGAUACUGAGUGAGUGAGGGUGGGGAGAUUGCUCUCCCGCACACGCUGAGCGCCUCCGAAUGGAGUGUUGUUUAGCUGUGUCUAGACGCGACAUAAUCAGCAGUGAUCUAUGAUUAUGUUUACGUCGUCUUAGUUCCUUUUGGUUAGGUUAACCCUUAACCUCAGUGACUAAGAUUCCAAAGUUAGCAUCUUGGACGCCCCCCCCUGUGUAGUGUUAUAGCUACGCAAUAGGGCGAGUCAAAUGUUACAUGAGUAUUCAUAAUGACUCCUUAAGUAGCCUGGUGCAAAAGCCCAACGACUAGUAAGUGUAGUUAAUUAUGUCUAAAACUUUCUUUAAAUUAAAUGGUUGGAUAUUAUUGAAAGGCUAAGUGUGCUUAUGAACAUAGGAUUUCACCGGUUCCAGAGAACCAGAUAGGAAGAAAAGACCCAGAGGAUUCUUUUGAAGCAGCAUGACUAGACUCACGGAUUUGUCUUGAAAACUUUUUAUCAUAGGUAGUUGGAGUACCAAACCGGUCUAAUCUCUUUCUACGGCAAGCGCCAUCGCCUUUUUCACUCUGGAUUUGACCUCAGUAGCAUUCCAUUCCCAACUACAUGCUUUGAUUCUUCAUUUUUGUGAACCUUUUUCCUAUCUCUGAAGUGUAUCCGCUGCUCCCCGCCGGUAUAGGUCUAAGGGCGUUUUGUCCCCUAUCUCUCAAUAGCACGGAACAAGAUAUAUAUAUGUUGUGGCGCUUUCGCCGCCUAUUCUAUGAUAAAUAUAUAGUAUAGUAAGGCGGAGAACUGUUGUUCGUUGGAGCGCCGGAGUGCGGAGGUUGUUCCCAUCAUUGAAGUCAGAGUGUGGGACUGAGUCUUCUGAAUGAUAAAGACCAAAAAGUACUUAGUUUUGUUGGAAAAAUCAACGCAAAUCUGAUCUUUCUUUUCUCUCGGGCUAGAACUUUCUUCAAUUAUCUCCUUUAGAAAGCUGCGAAAGGCCCGGCCCUGAACAUCCCUUUUUCUCGAAUGAAAGACCCUCGCCCCGCUUCCUAUCGAUAUGGCGGAUGCGAGGCGAAAUCAAAGUCAUCAAAUACUCUUGACUAGCUAGCAGGUUGGCUAAAGCGAACUGACCACAGCUCAAUGAGGUACCAAGACCACCCACAAACCAUUGAAUCAGCAUCAUAAAGAAAAUCCUCCUUUUCAGAAUAAAGGGGCUGGUAAAAGGACAGCAUCAAGCUAGACAGUAUGACCGAUCUCCGAGAGAAAGGCUUCGAGGUUCUCUUUCCUUGGUUUGACUAAACCGGCACUCGAACACUGGGUAAGAAGAGAGGGGCUUUUUUCUCUGAUAGGGCCAACAUCUUCUCUGACAUUCAUUUUCCCUUUAUGGGUGAACCGUUCCUACAGCCCUUAUAUGAUUCCAGCUACUCACCCUUGGACCCGCGGACUUGGAACUAUUUAAACAUGACCUUUUCAAGGGCUCGAAAAAAAGGGCAUCAAACUCGUUGACUUCCGUGGAGGGACCUUACUACAUAAGGGCUAGAGACGCCUCAGACUCAGGAGAUUCUAUGAACUCCCUUCACUCUAUUUUAUCCUGGGUCGUCAACCGAAGCCGGAGGCUCCUUCCAGUCUCAAGCUGUGGUAUAGUCUCCUUUCCUCCUUCGUGCCCGACCCGGUCAGUAGGCGUCAGUGUCUAAUCCCUCCGUCUCGUUUCGUAGGAAUAUUGUAGUUAAAAAGUAAUUGCUCCCUAGAGGAACUGGUCUCGGAGCUUCAUGAGAUAGAUUCUAGGGCUCAUUUUCCUUCUUCGCUAUCGAGCCCCUGCAAUUACAGGAAAUACCUCAUCGAUACCUAAACCUAAAGUAAAGGAGCAAUCCCUACUGGAAUGAAUCCGUAUCGGCGCCUAAUCAGAAGAAGGGUCCCUGCUGGUGAGGGAGGAGUAGUUAAAUCCACGGUCUCUGGCAGCAACUAGUCUCGAACGGAAGGAGUUGUCUUGAAAGAGCCCAAACCAAAGGGCGAUGGCCAACCAAAGCCCUUUCCCUUUUAGCCUAAGCCAUCAUGAAAUCCAAGCCAUCGUUCACUCUUCAUUUCCCGUAGUUGAUAGAGAUUUCCCUUGUCAUUCAGGAAAGCCCUCGUACAGCCCACAACCAUUGUUCGGUAGUACCUUCGCCUCCUCUCCCUUCAGUCAAAUCUGCUUCAAACAAAACCUUUCUCUUCUUCAUUCGCUCGGUGGUCUUAGUAAAAGCCUUUCAUUUCCUUCCAAUACUCAAUUUCCGGUAAGGCAGACCCUCCAACCUCCCCAUUUCAUUCUCCCGUUUACCUUUCAAUCGUCAGUUAUUCCGCCAGCCUUGACCAAAGGAGGGGGAAGCGCGGCGUAAGCAAAGACCUUCGAAUAAGAACAGGGGCUCCUGACUCCGAAUCAAGGGAGUGGAGGUAAUCCGGGCGAAAUCAGAAAGUCAUUCAAAAUCAACCCCUCAAAGAGGAAUCAGUAUAAAAGUUACUCAUUUGGUCCCAUUAACAGAACAGCCACCUUUUUCUUUCUAAUAUUACAUAACAUAAAUAGAUUCUAUUUAUGUACAACAUAAUAAAAUAAGUUAAGGGUUCGACCCCUCUCCGAUAGCACGAAAGAACCCUUUCCAUUAAAAAAAGCUCCAAUUCGAAGGUGAACCAUAUAGAGGAGAGCUACUGUACUGGCUUUUUUUUGGGGGAGGUUGGUAUCCUAUAGAUUAUAGAUCCUGGUUACAUACAACAUUGUUCCUGGAAACUUUCUUCAAAGAUGAGCCUCGAGGAAUCUGCGAAGAUGUUCAUUUGACAUUUCCAUUAGGAGAAAAGCUGCAUUGGGCAUUUACACCAUUAAGAGAGGGGCUCGCUAAUGCGCAAAGGGUAACACCGGGGUCUGGUUGGGCUGAUCAAAGUAGUUGAUUCAGAAUCAUCCAGCAGGAAAACUAGCCCUGUAACUUUAUUUCUAAGAACAAAUAGGAAAGCGCGCUUAACCGAGGGCUGCAUUCCUGUUACAAAGUCCUUGUUAUGGCCUCGAUUUCGAAACCAAGAUCUAAGGAAUUAGAUUAUUCGGGCCAAAUCCCCCAUCAACCCCGAGUCACUACCUUUACCAUUGCAUUGGAUCUGGCGAUCCCAAUUAAGAAAGCGUUGGUCUUGGGUUUGGGUGCCCCAAGCAAAGCGGUCCAACCCCCUUCUUUGAUAAGCGAUACCUUUCUCUGUUCAAGUUAUAAGGCUGACGGAACCAAAUGCAUACCUUUUUGCUUCGUCAGCAGUAGUCCUUACUAGCCGAUGACCUAGCAUGAGUACGAACAAAGAACUUCUUCGAUCUGACCCUCAGUAAUCGCGGUGGAGCAUUCAUUAUUAUAAAUAGUCCUAUCUAUUCUUUUUGGAGAAAGACUUUUGCAAAGCCCUAUCCGGGGUUUGUAAAGCUCCCUGCCUACACGUGGUAAAGCUAAGAGCGAAAGAGUCGGUCGCAUAAGCGCAUAGAUCACUACAAGUUAAUUUCAUCCCAUGCAGAGUCUUGUCCGGCAGUAGGAAGACGGGAUCUCUCUGAAGAACAAAGUGGAGGUCCAGUCCCUAACAGAAAGAAAGCCCAACAAGGUGGAAUCAGCUGAAUUAUUAUUGUUUCAUCUUUUAUCGUACAGAUGAUAGGACGGGCCUCUUUCUAUGAUCAAAUAACUCGGUGGUUUCGGGAACGAAGCGAAUAGGGUAAGGAGCACAUCAUGCGAGCAGGGUUCUUGCCCGACCCAGGAGGUAAGAAUCAUCAAAUCAUCCAACACUCGUAUACUAUAUAUUAUACUAAGUAAGACCCGUGGUAUAGUAAUCAUAAUGGAAGCCCGGGCUAGCAAUAACUGGAGUGACUUCGACUGAGGGAGGUAGCUUGCUUCUUGACAAAGACCAAUAAGUAAUUAGAAGCUCAAGCUAAGCCCAAGUUAGUGAUAAUGAAUAGGGGUCAGAAGCUCAAACUCCAAAUAAUAAUAUAUUUAUAUUAUUUGAACAGAAGAACUUGAGCUUGAACAAAUAGACUCAAACUGCACGAGGGGGGAGGGGAGACGAUAGUGUCCCCGACCGGUCCAAUGGUGUCUAUGAAGAGUACAUAAGAAUGAGCGAAAUGCAAGAAAGUGAAUCGGUUGCGUGCCGAUCCUUACCUAUUUUCAGGGUCGACUUAAGGAUUAUCAGCGGCGACCACGAACCGCCUUGCUCCCGCAGAAAGACCUUCACCCUAUAGCUACCGAAGACCAUCACCUUCCGACAGGGUCCAUCUUUGAUAGGAACCCCGUUUUCUAUAUUCUAUGAUAUGAUCUUUCCUUUUUCUGCGGGUGUGAAAUAGGCUACGGCAACGAUGCGAAAAGAGUCUUUACCGAGCUUUUGAAGGAUAAGGGCUAUGCCCCAGCUGAAAUGAGACCUGUUUGUGCUAGGUAUAUUUGAUUCGGUGAGGGGGGAGUUCAGUUCGGGGUAGAGCUAAGGUACUCAUCCAAAUCCAGUAGAAAGAGCGCAUGAAGGCAGUUCCUUAUGCUUCAUAGCGGAGGAAGCCCCACGGAUGGCCCAGAGAGAGUGCGCUUGUAUGUCUUCGAUGCGAAAAAUGGCGUAGUAAAGUAGCCAGUCACUAAGAGUAGUGGGGCUAUCGCUUCCUCUAGUACUAGCUCUGAUCUCUCUUCAGCAGUUGCAGUACGAUUCUUUAAUUCAACUCCUGCCCUGCCGUAUAAGUCUUCAGUGUCUGGGGUAGCUUUUCCUGCGGUCUAUGGCCUAUCCGCCUUCCCUCUAGCUGCUAGCUCUAUAGGGGACUAGCAUCUCUUAGUUAAAGUUAAGCUGCUCUUUAUGGCUUCGGUGAAUCUCUCGUCCUGCUGUAUUGGUUUUAUGGUAACGCGUUCAUCUCUUGUUUGCUUUGUUUACCGCUUUCCGUAAUUAAGUACUUUCCCCUGUCAACUCCUGCUAACGGUCAUCGGGUAAGGCUAAUCGGUGGAAUCUCUCCCUUGUUGCUUCUUCGAUCCUGGGCCAUAUGUCCUCUUCAAGCUCUCCUGGUUGGGAAAGGCCGGGCGGAGCUGUGGAUGCUGAGUCCUUUCCUUUCCGAAGAAAAAGGAUUCACUAUCUCUGUCCCGAAGUCACUAUUUGAACCUGUGAGUACUUAAACUCUUUUGUACUCCAAACUGCCUCCAACCGGCUUUUUCUAUUAGGCUUCCAAUUCAAGCUGAACUGGUCGGGGAUCAGAGUGAGUGCUUUAGGACUAACCUAUCUUGCCUAUGUUGACCUAUUAUACCGAACCAGUUAUGUUAUUUCUUCGAAUUAGACCAAUCGACAUUCGUUUAUAUGCCAUGCCGCCUAUAAAGAAAGAUAAGAGCCUCUACUCUUUCAACAGCCAGAGAGCCCACUCAAUGAACAAAGUCUUUCUCUUUUGUGGAACGUGCACACAGAGGGUUAGUUGGGGAAGAAGAAGUUUCCCAUUCAGAGUAAGCUCUUUGAGACGCUAACUCGAUAUUGCAUAAGAGAAGAAAGAGGAAGAAGUGAGCUGUAGCCUUAGUCUUAGUACGCGCACUAGAAGGGGCUACCGAAUGCGCCAGUGACAAAAUAAAAUCUUGUUUGUGUGCCGCGAAGGGCCUACCCCUUGAAAAUGGAAGGGCAUGGAGAAGCGGAUUCCUACUUCUUAAUAGAAUAGCUUGAUCGACCACCAUCCUUAUUGACCUUCCCUCGGGUUGGUAUGCUUGUGUGUCAAGCAAUCCUGCUUCGGUAGCAGACUUCGGUCAAGGAAAUCGCUUCAAGCAAUGGCUUUGGAUCGACCUGACUUCUUAGAGAGGAAAGCCAGUGAAUGAAUGAAUGAAAUCCGUUGAAUGAAGAAGUCUUUAUGGCUCAAGCAGCUAGCGGACCUCCUUAAUUGAGAAAGUCAAGCAUGUCAGCACGCCCCCUACCUAUGUAGUCGGCUUCCCGGUAGUUUGCGGGACGCUAUUGGAAUCGGUCUAUCUAAAUGACCUAUCUCCAGAUGUAUGUAUUCUUGAAGUGCCUUUCUCAUAGUUCCCUUCCCGGGCAUUGAUUGAGAGGGAAUAGACUUCCCCACUGAACGAGGAAGGCAGCAAUCUCCUGGAGAUAGAAGGGCAAUCCCCAAAAGAAGCGGCCAGAGGAGACAUUCAUUAAUAACGGAUCUCGACCCCUCACCCGUACUGAUGGGAAUGACGGGCACUGCAUUUAUGCCGAAGCCGAGGAACUGAACCAAUUACUUUAAAGGCUGGCAUCCCGGACUGAUAAAGGAUCAACUAGGAAGACUGGGCAGAAAUCUUCUUACCCGCAGUAGCGACAAUCAGGAGCACUACUUCUAUAAGAUGAUUCUCGCCAUUUUCCUUACAAUAGGGGCAUUGACUUCAGUCUCAACUAGACCUAGACCCAAUAAAGCUCGAAAAAGCAGGAUUGCUUGAAUGGAAAGAACAAAAGGUAAAGGACAACCAAACGAAAGCGCUAACAGCAGAGGGCAGUAUCUAUAUUAUAUAUAGUAGAGCUCGCUUACCAGACGAAACCAGGCCUUUAAGGUAAGGCUGGAGUGGAAGGGAGAGUAGACCCGAGAGCUGCAAUAGUAAUUAGUAUUCUAGCACCAGCCCUUCUCGUAUCGAGACAAGACAGAGCGGGGAAAGCUGCCUUAUGUAGUUACCUGCUCUUUCAUCGAGAUUAGCGAAUUACGGUAGAAGAUCGGAGAGAAUCUGGUUCGAGGAGCCUAGCCUUCUUUGCUAUUAGUUUCAAUAUCUGCUGCUUUUGUUUGCGCCAACCCUCUUAGAAGGAAGAACUCUGGGGAACUUCCGGAUUAACUGAUUAAGGAGUUCCGGUCGAAAGAGAAAUGAGUUAGCGGGAAGAAGAUUAGCAGUACGAGGAGGCGAUUCAGCAAGCUAGCCACACCUCCAUCACUUGACACUUUCUUAUUCACACCGAAGAGAGAGUGCUAGACUAGUGCCCAAUGAAGACCCAAGCAAUGCAUCUCAAGCUCUCGCUUUCAGAGCAGAUGUGCGAGAAGUUUAAUUACGAAGCUAUGCUGAUAUCUAUCUAAGAGCUCAUAUUCAAAGGAAAGGGCGGACCUGGGACCUGUACUUUAUAAAGGAUGGAAUGGAGCCAAGGGAAGAAAACGAACAAGAAGCACACUUCAAGGUCACUCUCUGUCUUCUUGCCUGGAAUAAACUCACUCCAGUGCAGUGGGAGGACCCCCUCUAAUAGGAUGCUACUCGUACCUGUAGAAAGAAGAGCGAGAGCGGAAGAGUAGGAUUCGGUAACUAGGAAAUGCCCCAUGCUCGAGGAGAAGGAGACCGGAUAGAGAAGAACGGGGCACACUCCUCCCAUUAAGAGAAAGCACAGGGAAAUCUCAAUAUAACCAGAGUGACCCGGGAAAGAAAGACAUGACUCUAGUACGUCCCAAAGGCGGGUGUUGGUCUGUCAAGGAUGGACAUAGAUGCCCCCUUUUUUACUGAAAGUUGAUCCCAGUUGCCCAGAACGCCAGGUUCUAACAUAACAUCUAUUACUUUGAUACUUAAGAUUCCGUAACGAGUAGAUACUUCCGCAGAAACAUAAUCGAGAUUGGAUCUUGUACGAAGGUAGACUUCACACCUACCCCAUCUAGACGAUAAAUAGAUAAAUAAAUGGGUUUCUUGCGGGCAUUUGCCAGCUUGAUUCUGAGAAAGAGCUCGUCGGCCUGUUGGGGUUCUCUUAAGAUAUUUCGAAUCAACUUAACCCUAUUCAACAAACAGGUGAUUAUGUACAAAAAAGGCUUGUUAUUGAAUGGCCCCUCUUUGCAACUGAUUUCAUUCAUAUAAUCGGGUGUUAGUUCAUAGGUUUUUAAUCCUGCGUACUCCCGCAUAAAGAAUGAGCAACCGCAACCUGAAACAAUAUCUUAUUUAAGAAGAGCGCUUGCCACUCCUCUAGUGUGAUUUCCAUCGGAGAUAGAAAACCUCUUAUCUUAGGCAUAGACAAAGAUAGCAUCUUCGGUGCAAAAAGUCACAGAGAUUUCGUGCACGCACUAAAGAGGCCUCUAAUCGACACUCACUCCUAUGCAGGAGAUGCCACACUGACUGCUCUAGCAGAUAGGAUGAAGAAGGAAAGAACGAUUAUGGUAGAAAAGACUCUUGAGAGCUCGGCUAUAGAGCAAUUCUUCGACUAGGGAAAUGGGAGAAAGACCUUUCUUUCUUUAUUUAGGCAGGAAGAGCGAAAUGGUCUCUCGAUCCUAGGAGAAAAGAAAGAUUAGGAUACCGCCCUUCUCUCAUGACUUCGGAAUCGAGCCAAGGCCCACCUCUAAAGUGACGUAGACCCGGUCCCUAACGAAACUAAACUUGAGCAAUUUCCUUCGGUAUACCAUUGAUCCCUUUGGGAAGGUUAAAGUUGAAUCAUACCCAAUCGAAGAAUAGCCCUUCGUGACUCUCCCUCUGACCCUGGAAUUCAUUGAAUUGGACAAUUCCUAAUAAGCGCUAUAGCUCGAGCUAUAGCUUCUUCUCCUGUAUGUGGUAGUAUCUGCUGCUUGAGCUUAGGUAGUCUUUCGCGCAAUUGCGUGAAGCAUCUCGCUAUGCUACCUACACCUUCCUUUGGGCGAGGUCAGAUCUAGAGAGGAAAGGACUCAAAGCAAAGCUCCGCAAGGCAGGCAACAACUGUCACCAUUCCCGGGCGAAGGAAGGCUGGAGUGCUCUGAGGAGAUCUGAUUCUGGACAACUCCGAUUCGACUUCUUCAUGAGCUAGCCCGGUGCCAUAAACCAGCUGUUGUCAGGAUGUGGGAGGAAAAAGUAGUAAAUGAAUGUUCCAAAGCCAAAAGAGGCUGACAAGCAAUAGCCAAAUCAAUCCACCAGGGAAUGAAUCUUUUGAAUGGGCAUCCGUAACAACAGACGAAGAAAGCCUUUCUUCUAGGCGUAGGCGGGAAGAAGUUCCAAAAGGGCUCUGAGUCCUUAUAGGGGCUAUUAUACUCGGUUCCAAUGGCUUUUCCUAAAUAUCUAAUUUUCUGGAGCGAAACUUCCAUCUUGGAGGAAGGGUAGUUUGACACCCGUUGCAUAAAAGCUACUGGGGCAACCGUAAACAUAAAGCUAGAUAAGCAAAGGGAGAGGGAACUACGCUCCCAAGAAAGAGCAAAACCUCGCCAAGGCAUGCUAAAACCUAAACUGCGACGAUGGCUCCAAACCGGAUACGAAGCAAGCGAAAGCAAGCUAGCCAGGGAAGGGGGUUAGCACGGUAGCGGGCCUCCUCGGCCUUGACAGGCUCCCGUUGAUAUAGCCUUCUAAAAUGAGGAAGUUUUCUCUCUUCCUUCUCAACCCGGCCUUUACUUUAAGGAUGAGCGGCCAGCACGCAUAAUCGAAUGCUUCACUCGAAGGGCUACGCCAUAUAAAGAGGCUUCCCGCCACCUUGUCCACCUUCACGCCUAGGAAUUCCAUAAGGACCGGCUCACGACCGUCAUUCCGCAUUUGGUAGUUGGUCUGCCAUUGAGGCUAAGCCCUAUUUGAGACUAAGGCAGGCUUCUUUUGACUGCAUUUUUUCCUGCUUUCUUUGCGCCCUUUCCAACUAGUUAUAGAUUUCUUUAAUGCCUAUAAACUGGGACCAAGCCAAGUAAGUCCAUAGAUCGUCUGUUAAUCCUUCUUUGAAUCCCAGUUGUAUUAGUAUCCGUCGUCGUCUGGGGUUUUAACAUGACCAAAGUAAAAAAAGUCUUGUCCCAGUUUUGAAGCCUCGAAAAGUCUCUCUAUCUGGCUUUGUUAUUAUUACAGUGUCAUCUGCAACCAGCCGUAGAGAUAUGGAGAGAGGGGACAGCCUUGUUGCAGACCUUUGUUUGGUUCCUCUUAUGAACCCCACUGGUCGUCCAUGGAUCAUAGGUGCUAUUCAUUGUAUAUAAAAAAACUUUCGUAUCCUACUCUGCAAAUCCCAUUUUCCUGUCGCAUAUAGAAACCUAUGAUUAACAUUAUCAUAUGCCUGGUUUGGCGAGUUUAGUGAUCAUGGCUGGCUCACCUGAUCUAUCAGCUGACUAGUAAGCCUCCUUGGGAUAAUCAUCAAUAUCUCUUCCUAUCCAAAUGAGAUUAGGAGGGCGCCCUUUUUAAAGUUAAAGAGCCAGCGUGUCUUUCAAUCUAUUGGCAAUUACCUUAGUCAUUCUCUUAUACAGUGUAGUCCCCAUAGCAAUGGGCCUCGGUCUAGUGAGGUUUUGCUUUUUUGGGAAUCAUUGCCAGGAAGAAGGAUUGAAUUGCAUCUGGUUUGCUCCUGUUCGACUUCAAUUACCAUAUGGAGAUGGAGGUCGUCCUUAAUUAUGUUCCAGCACUACCCCUGAAUCUAUCAACCAAGUAGAAGUUUAAGUUCAGUUGGAAUCCAUCUAAUCUAGUAGCUUUUGACUAUGAGCAGCCCCUCUGUUGUUGAUAGAUAGCUUAAAAGAUUGAAUUGAAUCAUUUUUUUUGUGCCUCGGGGACUCUUUCAAAUAUUUGGUGGACUGCUCCUAUAUGCUGUUGGCUCGAUAAGAUGGAUAAGUGUGAUAACAAUUUCAUAACUUCUAUCCUUAUCUCCUCAUGCUGAACCAGAACCAGGCCUCUUGGGCAUUUUAAAAUGAUAAAAGUGUGGAUUCUGCCUUUCUUAAUAGAUGCGUGAAAAAAAGAAAAACCUUUUAACCACAACUGUCGAGAUUGUAGGCGCAGCGACUCCCCUACCCUUCUUGACUUAAAGCUGAGCUUCCAAUCUUCUAUACAUACAAGAGUUCUCUAUGUGUUCUGCAUGUGGUUCUCUCUCAAUUGCUCUUCCUUUUCCAAAAACGUGUUUUCUGCUUGUUUUGAAAUUUCAUUUACACAAUUGAAUUGACAAGAGGAAAGAAAAAUCAGUUAAUAAAUCCUAAACAAAAAGGUCCUAUGUAGGUUAUCGUUACAUUUUAGUUUAUAAACUAGAUUGAAAACUUCUUCAAAAAUCAAACUAAGAAAUAUAGUAGGUGAGUAAACUUGGCGCACCUACAAGAGCUCGAUAGAAUAGGGCUCUAUUCGAUCCGAUCCGUCCAGGUAAAGACCUUAACCUUUACUAUACCUUAUGAACCCUUGAGUCCUUUCUUUUAUGCGAGGAUGCAAGUGUAGGAUAGAUCUUUCCCAAAGUUCACUUUCUUUGUCGAGAUUGGGUUGGUGUUCAGUGUACUGGGUACAAGAUCGAAAAGAACCCUACCCUAUAUAUAAAUAUAAUAUAGGCAAGAGGCAAGGCAAGCGCUGUCCGUCUUCAUGGCCUCAAUAAGACGUGGUAUUGUACUGGCCCGUUUCGCAGCACGGAGUAUACCGUGAUCUCCGUUAGUUCCGUUUCGGCUUUUUCCCCAAUUUCCCACUCCUUCUGUGAGGCCUCACCACACUUCGACACAAGAGAAGAGGACCGGGCGCUUUGCUUGUCUUGUAUCUUCGGGAUACGAGUUGGCGGUCUUCUUUAAGAGAACUUCAAUCUAAUACUCGUUAUGGAUCAACUCGUUGCUGAUUUCGUUUCUAGGAUGGGUUUGGCUCUGCCUGUAGCUAUUCUUGUAGCCGUUAGGGCUGGCCGAAUGAUCCAUCAAAUGAAUAGUCAAAAUAUGGAAACAAAGGUAACUGAUCUAACGAUAGAUGUUGUUAAAGAGAAAAUCGUUGACCAACUCUCAAUUCUUUUGAGAGUCUAUAGAGAGACUACUGAGGAUGUGAACUUACCAACAGGAGUCAAUCUCCAAGAGGUAAGCGCACUUGGAGAAGCAAGAGUGAGCCUUCUACACAUACACAAUAUUAUAUUUAUUGUGAUCUUCUUUCUCAGGGAACGCAAAGUGAAUACUUUCUCCAAGUUAUACAAUUUCUUGGAGGGUAGUCUUUCUUUUUCUGAUGGUUCCUGACGUACUGGAGUUAUAACAUUUGAAUUUCUCUUACAUUCCACGUUCCCGAAAUGGAUCCUCUUAACUUAAAUAUUUCACAUUUUCGAAGCGACAGCUUACUUCGAUCUUUCAUAGAUUGAGUCUUUUCUUUCUUUUCAUUUUGACCUUUCUCAGUCUCUCUUAUUGUCUCUGUUUACUAAUCGAGGUGGAUUUGGAUCUCUUUCUUUGGAAAAUGAAAUCAAUGUUGCUAGGGAAAGUGAUGUCUUUAUUAAGGUUGCAUGGGAUGAUAGAACUUUUUCUUUUUUGUGGAGACCUCACUCUAGGGAACAUGAUGAUGUCAGAAGAAGGUUACGCCGCAUCAAGCUCGUAGGGGGGCGGCUCUUCGAAACGACCUCCUCUCGACAUCGACUUAAAUGCCCCGGAGCAGGAGCCUGCCCCUCAGUUGGAAUCGGGUAACGGAUGAGAUACGGAGGCGCCGAAAUUCUGGAGUUGGAGCAAGAACGUCAAAGAAUCGUCGAAGCUUCUGCCCAACAGGAGGAGAGAAGGCGAGCCCAAGAAGAGCGGGAUUGGCAAUUUCAUUUUGAAAGGAGGAAAGUAGCCCGUCUGAGGGUAGAAAACGAACGACUAAGAUUUCGAAUCAAUUAGAAUAGAUAUGGGCAGGAUAUGACGAUUCCGACAAGGACAAUUCUUUCGUCGCGCCUAAUCUUGAUUCACUAUUUCCAUUUUUUUUGACGACAAGUUUAAGUUUUAAAUCUUAAUGCAUUUUGUUUUCGUAGACGAGUGAGCAGAGCCCAUGAAAUAAGGAAGCCCGUCAUAGAGCAGUCGACUAGAAGUAGAAGACUGCUGGCCUGAGAGAAGGCGACCUCUCUCGGGAAACAUGUCCAAAUUUCUCUUCUUUCUUUUUGAUUUCGGGUUUCUUUUUCAGGGGCCCAGAACGCUAAAAGGUGGUUGGAGAAGGAAACCGAACCUCUAAUCGACCUGGACACAUAAUUCUUGGCGUCGAGAGAGAUUUGAGAUUCCGUAAGUAACUCAGUGAGUGCUUUCGAAGAAAGGGGAAAAUUAAAUAGGAACAACCGCGCUGGUCGUACGAAAGUAGUUCUCAGUCGUAUCAUGGCUCGUUUUUCCCGGUUUACUACUAUGGUUCUAGUUUUUAUCUCAUUUCUUCCUAUUAUGUCUCUAUUCUUCUGGGCUGGGAUGGGACUGGAAUUUCUUUCAGGCCUUCCUUUCGAAGGCUCUAAUCUCCACCGGAGCCCGCGCCCUCUUGUCUAAAUUAGGAUUUGCAGAGCUCUUCCUUAUUCUUUUUUUUGGGGGGAUCAAAUGGUCUCUCCAUCGGGAGAUGCGCAUGGGUGCUCUGCGCUUUCGAAUCCUAUGGAAGCGCACCAGCCCGACAACGUGCCGGCGCAGGCGCCUGUUGCAAAUCAACCGGUCGACCUUAACCGGACACCGAGUCCUAACCCGAUGCUUUCCUUACUAAUGGACCAACUUGAAGAGGCAAACAGGGACCUCGAAAUUUUGGAGAGUAGACCCCCCACCACUCCAGCCGAAGUUCGGGCCAACUUAGAGGAAGUGAGGGUUUUAGGGGAGCGCAUUGACCAAAUUAUUGAGCGAAUCAAUGAAUGCCGGGCCCUGGAUGAGGUUAGACGAGAGGAAGAUGCCCAAAGCGGAAGUCGAGGCUCAGGCGUGACGGGUCGACCCAACUAUACGGGGCCGCUUCGAGGAGACCCGAGCUCGAAGACAGGCCUUCCGAGAAAGACUUCCCAUUCUCCAACAAGAGAAUUGGGAGCAAUUCAACCGGGAUCGGGGGAAACAUAGGUAAUUCUUUCUUCCUAUAAUCCUGCCUGGGGAUAAGAUAAGGUUAAUCUUCUCCCUGGGCGCGGAUCGAAGACCCCUCUUGGAGAUGUCGAGGAGUGAAAAGGCAGGAUCGCUUGGUAAGCAAGCAAGCAGGCGCCAACUCCCAAUUCUUUCUUUUUUUAUGAAAUCGUGUACAACAACCUUAACCGCACAAGCCGGGACUGGGCCUACCUCCAUCCCUAUCCCUAGAGGAGCCGUAUGAGGCGGAAGCUCCACGUACGGUUUUGAAGCCGAGCCUUUCCAGCAAUGGGGCUUAGGGGCCGAUAUGAUGAUUGGUUUAGGUAAGGCGGCCGGCCUACUACGGGCACCUGUAGGGAUUAGUGCGUGAGACCGCGAUCCACAAACUGACGCAUGGGACUCACCCUUUACUUGGAAAUAAAGAGGGGAAAGAUAGCAUGUCACAAGAGCGAGGCGAGGUCUGGAACCCUACUGCGAGAGGGACGCCUCGUGAGCCGGGCUUCUAGAGAUGAGGCCUUUUGGCGAAGCCAAGUCAAUUUCGGGCCACCAAACCCUGCAACUGAUGAGAAGGCCCUAUGGAGUAAAGGGAAGCGUGUACGUUGUCACACUCCCGGCCUUCCAAAGGUGCCUAGAGGACGGGCCAGACGCAGCAGAGCGACAACCCGGGAGCGGAUUCCCCACCGGCAGGGGGGCAGGAGACGGCCAUCUCGAGGCACAUCACGACCUACAGGCAAGAUCGGCGAGACCUGGGAAGGCAACCCAGCCCGAUUGAGAGUCAGAGGAUCCAUAGUACCUGCAGCCCCACAGACUUCAUAUUCAACAUUUUUUAAAGCGGGGGGAAGGGAUCUCUUUUCUGCAAUGGAAAAAAAGGAGCAGAUUUGACUCGGCACAACCUAACGAUACAUCCAAUACCAAUGAUCUGCGCCGCGUUGCUAGAUCUCUGCGAGAAUUUAAUAAGAGAAGAAAGCGUAGAAAGAGGUUCAGAAGUACUUCCCCCGGUUCUACCAGGUAAGAAGGUCAAAUGCUCUUCUUUAAGUAAGUAAGGGAGUAGACUUUUUGAUUCCAACGCACUUCACUCUUGGCCAGACGCCAGCGACGAAUGGCGUCAAUAGUCGCAUAGAGCCUUUCAAGGGCAACCUUUGGGAAGAGCAAGGUCUUGUAGAAGUUUUUCGCCUUAGCACCCCCCGAAUUCCUUUCAACCCCAAUAUUUAAAUAGAGGGGCUUGGGUCUGGUCUACUACCAGCAAGGCCCCACUUACUUUCUUUUUUAUUUGAAUUUAUCUUAGUAAAGAAAUAAAGAAUGUCGGAUCUAGUACUUACCUAUCUUAUUUCCCUUCUUUCAGCAGCUGCUUUACCACUGAGUGUUUUUAUAGUCGCUAGCUGGCGAGUCGCGAGGCUUCGCCAGUUAACGAUGGCCUCUUACCAGGAGCGAGUGGACGAAAGCGUCGCCGAAACAAUAAAGGAACAGCUUAGUGAUAGGCUCUCCAUUAUUGAACUCUAAUCAUAUAAAUCUUCCACCUGGAAGAACGGCGUAUGACAUAAUAGACCGCUUGGUACCGGGGAAUGAUAUAGAAUUACUCUCUUCCAUAUAUACAGAUUUGGCUCAACUAGGCAUUCAAAGUGAGUAUUACCUCCAAUUACUCCAAGUUAUUAAUUCUUUUUGGUGAUGUUUUGAUCUUAUUCGUAUUCCGAUCGAAAAAAGAAGGUUUCAGUUACGGUGGGUGGGAAAGCUGGAGGGGAUCCCAGUGGUUAGAGUAACUGGCCUAUAAGGUUAGUGAGGUUCCUGCUAUGGUGAAGUGAAAGAUCUUUCACUUUAGUGGGAAGAAGACAGGUGGGAGCGAGCGGAGCGAGAGCAAAGCAAGCUCUAGUGGUGGGGUGUUUUCCUGGUCCCAUU